GAUAGAGCAUAAAUUAGUCCAUUUUAUAUUAAUAUUAUUGAUAAAUAUUUACAUGAUUUCUGCUUAAUUUAUUACUUUUAAUAUUAUUUUGCAGAAAAUGGUGUAAAACGACAAUUUGGAGAAAAUCCCCCUAAAACCGCAUUAUUUGGAGCAAAAGAGAGAAAGUCUGCCAAAUUGGAUUCAAGACAAGCUGAGUGGGGAAAAUAUUUUAAAGCUUAAAUAUUGAAGCACUUGGACCAAAGAAUUCACGCAAAUGGGCCGAUCACCAGCACGUGGAUCAAGCCCUUCGCGAGGACCCAGCUCGUAUGGCCUGCAUUCAACGCCGAUUCCACCUN
rnacentral:lncRNA from 1 species